AGUCGAGCGGUAGCACAAGGGAGCUUGCUCCCUGGGUGACGAGCGGCGGACGGGUGAGUAAUGUCUGGGAAACUGCCUGAUGGAGGGGGAUAACUACUGGAAACGGUAGCUAAUACCGCAUAACGUCGCAAGACCAAAGAGGGGGACCUUCGGGCCUCUUGCCAUCAGAUGUGCCCAGAUGGGAUUAGCUAGUAGGUGGGGUAAUGGCUCACCUAGGCGACGAUCCCUAGCUGGUCCGAGAGGAUGACCAGCCACACUGGAACUGAAACACGGUCCAGACUCCUACGGGAGGCAGCAGUGGGGAAUAUUGCACAAUGGGCGCAAGCCUGAUGCAGCCAUGCCGCGUGUGUGAAGAAGGCCUUCGGGUUGUAAAGCACUUUCAGCGAGGAGGAAGGUGGCGAACUUAAUACAUUCAUCAAUUGACGUUACUCGCAGAAGAAGCACCGGCUAACUCCGUGCCAGCAGCCGCGGUAAUACGGAGGGUGCAAGCGUUAAUCGGAAUUACUGGGCGUAAAGCGCACGCAGGCGGUAUGUUAAGUCAGAUGUGAAAUCCUCGGGCUCAACCUGGGAACUGCAUUUGAAACUGGCAAGCUAGAGUCUCGUAGAGGGGGGUAGAAUUUCCAGGUGUAGCGGUGAAAUGCGUAGAGAUCUGGAGGAAUACCGGUGGCGAAGGCGGCCCCCUGCACGAAUACUGACGCUCAUGUGCGAAAGCGUGGAGAGCAAACAGGAUUAGAUACCCCUGCUAGUCCACGCUGUAACGAUGUCGAUUUGGAGGUUGUG
rnacentral:rRNA from 1 species